UCCUCAGCUAGAAGGCAAAACGACACCCACAUCACCGAGAUUGGUCAGGUUCUGCAAGGCUUCCCCUGCAUGAACCCAGAGAUUCAGCCUGCGUGGACACAUGUACUUCUUUCCAGAGUUUUAAGGGUCACCAUGGAGACCCAUGGAGAAAUCUGAGAACAAGACAUCUCGGUCUGCGGGAAGUUCAGAGGAGAGGGUGAGUGUCAGAGCAGAAGAGUUUUCUUAUGAAAUCACAGAUUUCUAACACAUUCUAACAAAGGAAUAUAAGCAACAAAAUAGGAGCAUGAUUUGAAUGGAGUCAGAAUAAUUGUAUUAUCUUGCAGAUUAAACAAGAUCCUUAAGUAAAGCAUCGAGUCCAUUUACCUACACAACAGUGAUGAAACUGACUCAUCCAGGGGUGAUUUACUUAGAAUUUAAUGUGGUGGAAUAAACUUCUGACAUAUCACUGCAUCCCAUAGUCUUGGCCAUCAGUUCUCCAUGAGUGGAAGAAAAAGUCAGAGGAGGAUUUCCUAGACUGUGGGUCCUGUGCCUGUAACAGUGCCUCUUGGGUACAAGUAUGCAGUGAGUGCAAGGAGGGAUGGAACUCGUUGGUUCUGGAUCCUCCAUGAUUCAGAAAAAUGGGCACAUCAGGUGUCGAAGCGCCAUCUCUAACGUUCAGGGUGUGUAGUCAUAGCAACUGCCAGAGGCUGAAGACCAACUAUCUACUGUUGUUUUCUGCUCCCAUGAAAGAGCUGGAGUUUUAUUGUAUAAAAACAAUAAAGAAAUUCCCCCGAAGCACCAGAUGGGAGAUUUUUCGCUAGUCUCGCUGUGUGGGAUCUUUAGCCAAAUUAAAUUUUCAUCUGGAGAGGUCGAAGUGUGAUAGCAUUACAUCCGAGUGUUGCAUCCUAUUUACUGAAAACUAACAGUUUACAGAGGUAGUAAAGAGGACAAUACAUGCCCGCUCUUUGAUGUACAAAUACCUGUGUACUCAUGAAUAAGAACUGGUUUGUGACUGAGCCCAUGGCCGUGUGAGGGAAACAUGGUAUAAGGCUGAAAUUAAACCUCAAUAUUACAGGCUAUCUGGACAUCAGGUAAAAUUGCAAGGCCCUAGAAUGGCUUAACCAUAAAUUUCCCUUUUUGCUCCGUUUCUUUGGGUAAAGUCCCCUAGCUAAUGAUACUUCUUGUGUGGGGGACCAUGUGCCAUUUCUACUUGUCAGUGAAUAGCAGGUUUGAGUUCCCUGCCAGCCACAGAAAUAGGCAAAUGAGCCAAUCACAAACUCUUCAAGAGCCAGGGUGCACCCCACCCACCCAGCCCCUGCUUGUUUUGUUCUCUGCUGUGGUCUGGGGUGUGUGGCCACCCAGGGAUAUAAUUAGUAAGUGUGACUAAUAAACUGCUGCCCAUCUCAUCUGUCCAAGCAUCAAUCCUAAAACCCUAAGCUGGGAAUUCUUCCCUAACCCUCAGAGUUAAGGAAGCCAUGUGGGUUGGUUGUUUUUGGAGAAAUCUCUGCCUUUCUAUGAAGAGGACACAUAGGGGAGAUAGUGCGUUUCCAUGUGGGAACAGAGCUGCUACUCAGAUCUCAAACUGUCUCCUUUCAGAAAAGAGAGGACCAGGAAAGCGUGUGUUCCUGCACACACAUCACAGAUCUGGGCAUGGUGGCUCACACCUGUAAUCCUGGCACUCCGGAGGCUGAGGCAGGAAGAUUGGUGGUGCAAGUUUGAGACCAGCAUGAGCUACAAAAUGAGCUGAGGCCAGCCUGAACUGCAUAGAGAGACUGUAUCUCAAUAAAAGACAAAAAAACAUUUUAAAAAGACUGGUCUAUUUCUGACAGUAUAUUUUAUCUAAGUUAAUGAUGCAUGAAGACCUAAAUGUUCUUCCCAGGGUUGGUGGACUAAAGUAAUUUGGAACAUAUCUGUGUUAUUUCUGAGUAGGAAAAGGAAUCAAAGAUGAGAAGACAGUGAUUAAUCAACAUUUUGAGAAUGAUACUUGGGCUUUGAAAAAUACUUUUAAGUGAAUUGAGAUCUUGCUCAUUUAUUUUUCUUUGAAAAAUGGACAUAGUAUGGGCUCCCAGAAACGUCUGCUGAAAGUUCUCACUCGUCAUGGGGAUUUUCAAGUACAACCCUAACUGGUAUCUGCAACUGCUGGACAGGGGCCCAUUUUUCUUCUCAACACGAGACUCAUGGACACCACCAUCACUGCCAGAGAGGUCCCAGAAAAAGAUAAGGAAAUAGUGAAGGUCACCAAUGUUUAAGAGUCUUGCAUCUCAGCCUUUUCCCCUUGCAUACUUCAGCAGCCAUUUGGGAGCUAGCACAAGCUGAGAAAAGCAGCAGCCAUCCCUGCAUCAGCAUACCCAAUGGCCAUGAUCAGAUACCCAUAGCCAGCAGUGGCCAGAAAAAAACAAACAGUCUCACUUCAGAGAAACUGUAGCCAAUGCAGGAAGUGCCUGGGACCUCACUACCCACUUGCUGGGAAGAAGCCAGGAAUAUGUCAAGAUAAAGAAGCAAAGGCAGUCUCUGGCUUCCAACCCAAGAAGAGCUGGUCCAGGAGACCUAAACACGAAAAAGAUCAGGAGUUGCACACCUGAAGUUUCUGAAGUGUUGGCCACUGAAGUAAAGAAACAACUUCAUGAGGCUAUAAAAGAAAUGAGAACAGAAAUACUAUUUCAGGUAAAAGAAGAAAUGAGAAACAUAAUAAAAGAAUUGCUAAGCACCUCUAAAGAAGACAGAUAAAAAUAGAGGAGCAUAAGAAGAUGAAGGAACCCUUGAAUGAACAAUAUAAAAGAUUUAGAAUACAUGAAACAGAUUCAAAGAGAGAUCCAGGAAAUUAAAAACUCCAUUGUAAGUUGGCAAAACUGCUAGAAAGCAACUGAAGAUAGACUUUUAAGCCUUGAAGACAGGUUUGCAGCUUGUGAUCGCGAAGGGAAAGAUCUCUUAAAAAUAACAGUGAACCAGGAAGUAACAAUUCACUGGCUGCAAAACAAUGCAAAGAAACAUAAUUUAAGAAUAACAGGUGUCAGUGAAAACGCAAAUGACAUUAAAAGUCUAUUUAAAGAAGUAAUAGCAGAAAACUUUCCAAGCAUGGGGAAAGGAUGUGACAUUCAGAUAAGUGAGGCAUAUAGAACUCCAUUAGCCAUAAUCAAAAUAAAUCUACCAAAACAGAGCUACACCCAGACAUAUAAUAAUCAAGAUCUCAGAAAUUCAACACAAUAACAGAAUAUUAAAAGCUGUGAGACAAAAGAAACAGAUCACCUAUACAGGAAAACCCAUCAGAAUCACAACAAACUUCUCAACACAAACCAUCAAGUCAAGUAGAAGUUGAAGUAUUGCAAGUCCUGAAAGAAACUAACUUCUAACCCAGGUUGAUGUAUCCUGCAAAAUGUUCUUUCAAAAUUAAUGGAGAAACAAGAUACUUCCAUGACAAAGGACAACAAGGAAUUCAUGACCACCAAACCAACCCUACAAAGAGUACUGAAGGACAUUCUAGAGAGAUUAAAAUAACCACAGUUCCAGGAACAGCAGCAGAGGGAGAUCACCGAGUGGGGCAGACAGCUGAAUGGAGGGGAAAAGUAGGCAGCCAAUGGCAGGAAAAUAGCAUGGCAGAGACAAGCCAGUGCAUGUUGGCCAUAACCAUUAAUGUAGAUGGCCUCAGUGCAUCAAUAAAAAGAAACACAGGCAGAGUGGAUCAGGAGACACAAUCCAUCAAUAUGCUUUAUACAAGAAACACAUUUAACUAGAAAGAAAAUUCAUAGACUGAAAGUCCAAGGAGAAAGAACAAUGCUCUAAGUCAUAGGGAACCCGAAAAAAUUAGGGGUAGCUUACCCAUCAACUGCAGAAUGGAUAAGAAAGACACAGCAUUUUUAUACAGUGGAAAGCUACUCAGUUAUCAAGAAAGAUAACCUCAAGGCUUGAGAUCAUGCUCAUGGGUGAAAUGGCUCAGAGUCACAUGGGUGAACACCGUGUUGUCUCCUAGUAUAAAAAAACUAAAAGAGUUUGUUGGGAUCCAAAAUGCACACUAUAUAUUGUGAAAGUGAAAGGGGAGAAAAUGUCUAAAAAGGAAAGGCAGUGGCUCUUGCUAAUCUAUUAUUGUGUUUUGAAACCUGUAUUGUUUUCAUUAUUUUGUUUAGUUUGGUUUCAUUCUGCUCUAUUUUGUUUGACUUUAUUAUGCCUGAUGAGCAGUUAUUUUGAAGAUAACAAGAGUCAUUAAGAUAGCCAUUAUUGAUUUCCUUUUAUCUUGUUUUGAAGUCCUGUACCAUGUUCAUUGUUUUGUUUUGAUUGACUCUGUUCUGUUUUAUUUUGCUUGGUUUUGUUCUCUUCAAAAUAAAAAAAUUUUAAAAAAGAA